UCGUAUAAAAGAGGUGUGAGGGCUGUCGCUGACCCUCAAAGGUCGUGCACGCCCAAAGCACUUUCACACAAUCCAUCUCACCCCUUUUGUGCAUCACCGCGUGGGUCUCUCCUUUGUAGGAAGGGCCUGCGUUUUAUCAUAAAAACUUUACAUGGUGUAGAAUGUUUUAUUUUUGUGGUCACACACAAUCAAUA
rnacentral:misc_RNA from 1 species